GACGAUUGGGCUAGAAGACUCUUAAUCUGUGGGUCCAGGGUUCGAACCCCUGAGGGGUCACCA
rnacentral:tRNA from 1 species